CCAGUGUGGCGUAGUGGUUUGAGUGUUGGACUGCAACUCUGGAGAUCAGGGUUCAAUUCCCAGAUAGGA
rnacentral:tRNA from 1 species